AAUUUUAUAUCAUAAAAUUGUCUCAACUUUUACACUUGUAACAGUAAAGUGACUACAGUGGAUUUCUAUCCAAUAAAGUAUCAAAAAUGGCAUAUUUAGACUAGAUACAUACAGUAAUUUAAAAGAGCCACAUAAGCCUUGGGAAUGUAAAUUCUCUUUUCUGCCUGUGUACAAACGAAAUUUUCUCUCUCCUCUGCCUGUUGGUUUAGCGACGCGCUUGAGCCUUCUCAAUUCAAUUGAUUUGACGUGUUAGUUUUUCCUUGUCAUUUCUUCUUCUUCUUCUUCUUCUUCUCUCUUGUUUCUCUUUGGUCUCUAUCUGGUUUUUCUUUAGCUUGUCAGGCAACGAGAAGGCGAGAUUUUGAUUUAGGUCUAGAUAGAGAGUGAAAUCGAAGGGUGAAGAAGACGCAAAGAGGGAGCUUGGGUAGCGCUUUAAGAAGAACAGUGUAUUUGCACGAUGGCAGCAAACCCACCAAGUGAUAUUAGUGAUAAUGACCCACUAGAUUUUGAUAUUAUAGUGCAUUAUGGUGAGAAAAUGGGUGAAUGGGGAUAAAAUAAUAGGGAAGAGCUAGAAUUAGGGCAUUGUAAUGCACAUAAAAUGAGUCUCGUUUAUAUAGAUAACCUGUUUCAAUUGAAUGGUAUAAAAGGGUUGCUUAGGUAUUAUUGGAAGAACCCUCAUUUAGAUUAUAAUGAUGGGCUUAAGGUACUAGAGAAAGAUAGUGAUGCUUAUGAAAUGGCACUACAUGGGAGUGAUGUUGGCAUAAUUCAUAUGUAUGUGGAACACCUAGCAAUUGAUGACAUAGCAAAUGAGUUCAACAAUGUAGGUAAGGGGGAGGUGUUGUAAUUGAGGAAAUAGCUGAUGAAGCAAAUGAAAACAUACCAAUUAGUGAAACUUCAAGUAGU